CCUACGGGAGGCAGCAGUGGGGAAUUUUGGACAAUGGGCGCAAGCCUGAUCCAGCAAUGCCGCGUGAGUGAAGAAGGCCUUCGGGUUGUAAAGCUCUUUUGUCAGGGAAGAAACGGUGGAGGUUAAUACCUUCUGCUAAUGACGGUACCUGAAGAAUAAGCACCGGCUAACUACGUGCCAGCAGCCGCGGUAAUACGUAGGGUGCAAGCGUUAAUCGGAAUUACUGGGCGUAAAGCGUGCGCAGGCGGUUGUGCAAGACAGAUGUGAAAUCCCCGGGCUCAACCUGGGAAUUGCAUUUGUGACUGCACGGCUAGAGUGUGUCAGAGGGGGGUAGAAUUCCACGUGUAGCAGUGAAAUGCGUAGAGAUGUGGAGGAAUACCGAUGGCGAAGGCAGCCCCCUGGGAUAACACUGACGCUCAUGCACGAAAGCGUGGGGAGCAAACAGGAUUAGAUACCCUGGUAGUCCACGCCCUAAACGAUGUCUACUAGUUGUCGGGUCUUAAUUGACUUGGUAACGCAGCUAACGCGUGAAGUAGACCGCCUGGGGAGGUACGGUCGCGAGAGUAACGUACGAAGAAGUAGACGCGUGAGAGUUAGCGACGGACGACGACGAGGGAGGAGG
rnacentral:rRNA from 1 species